rnacentral:rRNA from 1 species
CCUACGGGACGCAGCAGUGAGGAAUAUUGGUCAAUGGACGAGAGUCUGAACCAGCCAAGUAGCGUGAAGGAUGACUGCCCUAUGGGUUGUAAACUUCUUUUAUAUGGGAAUAAAGCUUUCCACGUGUGGAAUUUUGUAUGUACCAUAUGAAUAAGGAUCGGCAAACUCCGUGCCAGCAGCCGCGGUAAUACGGAGGAUCCGAGCGUUAUCCGGAUUUAUUGGGUUUAAAGGGAGCGAAGGGGGAGUGUUAAGUCAGUUGUGAAAGUUUGCGGCUCAACCGGAAAAUUG